rnacentral:lncRNA from 1 species
AGACCCAAUUUGAAUCAGAUGAACUAUGAUUCGGAGAGUCUAGGUCUCCUAGGACUCUCCCUCUAGAUAUCAUGCCAAGAAGGAGAGGGCACGUGUUGAGACGUGCCCCUUAAUUCCUUACGUGCAUGAAGAGAGGAGGGAGACCUAGACUCUCUCUCCAGAUAUCAUGCCAAGAAGGAGAGGGCACGUGUUGAGAUGCAACCCUUAAUUCCUUACGUGCGUGAAGAGAGGAGGGGUGCCAAUAGUUGGC